CCUUGAUUUCAGAUGCAGAGGGACAACUUGGCACGAAAGAGCGACGGAGGAGGCGAGCCGAGCGCCGUAAGCAAGCAGGUGCGAAGCAAAGUGGAAAGCUGGGUAUCGGCAGCGCAGCUCCUCUGGCAAGAUGUUGAAGAGGAACCCAGCGAUGCAGGAAGAUCCCUGUUAGCGCGUGUGGCGUUUUCUUCGUCGAAGAUGGGUUAGGUCCCUCGGCCCUCUGAAAGCUAAG